GCCCUCGUAGCUCAGUUGGUAGAGCGCAUCCUUGGUAAGGAUGAGGUCACCGGUUCAAAUCCGGUCGAGGGCUCCA
rnacentral:tRNA from 2 species